rnacentral:lncRNA from 1 species
CACGGAGAGAAAGGUUCUGCUGAUAGAGCUGCAGCACUCGCCAUGGGAAGGUUAGAGACUGUGGAAGUGCUGGCUUCUGCGAGCACACAGCGAUUUGCAAGUGAAUGCGAGGGGAGGGCGCAUCCGAGAGGAGGGCUUUGCUUGAAAGGCGUCCCCUCCCCCGCAGGGCAGAAAGACUCUCUGUUUCAAGGCUAAGGGAACUUUCUCGGCUUGAUUUUCCAAAUCCCUUCUCUUGUUGCUUAUUGUCA